rnacentral:rRNA from 1 species
GUGGGGAAUUUUGGACAAUGGGCGCAAGCCUGAUCCAGCAAUGCCGCGUGCAGGAAGAAGGCCUUCGGGUUGUAAACUGCUUUUGUACGGGAAGAAACACUCCCUCGUGAGGGAGCUUGACGGUACCGUAAGAAUAAGGAUCGGCUAACUCCGUGCCAGCAGCCGCGGUAAUACGGAGGAUCCAAGCGUUAUCCGGAAUCAUUGGGUUUAAAGGGUCCGUAGGCGGUUUAAUAAGUCAGUGGUGAAAGCCCAUCGCUCAACGAUGGAACGGCCAUUGAUACUGUUAGACUUGAAUUACAAGGAAGUAACUAGAAUAUGUAGUGUAGCGGUGAAAUGCUUAGAUAUUACAUGGAAUACCAAUUGCGAAGGCAGGUUACUACUUGUGGAUUGACGCUGAUGGACGAAAGCGUGGGGAGCGAACAGGAUUAGAAACCCCAGUAGUCC